rnacentral:lncRNA from 1 species
CCAAUGCAAGGCCAAAUUCUUCCAUGAUACAUAUCCGCCAAGGCUAUGGCAAUUGAAGCACGAAUGAAUUUGGUGAAUUAAAGCUCUGAAAAUAGGAUGGAUCAUUCUCCUUCAAGUGAUUGAAGAUAACCUUUUCUAUGAUAGUGUCCUACCUAUUCACAUCUUCAGCCAAAGAGAAAUAAAGUUCUGAACAUCUUCCUCUACUCAGCUAUAAGCUUAGUGCUGCCUGGUACCCACUGAUUUCGGCAAACCGAGGACAAAAAUUCCUGUUACGUAGAAGAAAAGAAUCCUCUGGACCCAAUAUCUGAUGAUUGCUUCAGCACAUGUUGAGCUGGGAGU